CCUAGAUGAUGGUGAAUAGGACCACAGAGAGUGGCUUUACUCCGCUGCACAUUGCUGCUCACUACGGCAACAUCAACGUGGCAACGCUCCUCCUCAACCGCGGCGCUGCCGUGGACUUCAAAGCCAGGAAUGACAUCACACCGCUGCACGUGGCUUCUAAGAGAGGGAAUGGCAACAUGGUGAAAGUUCUGCUGGAGAGGGGAGGCACGAUAGACGCCAGGA